rnacentral:rRNA from 1 species
UACGGAGGAUGCGAGCGUUAUCCGGAUUUAUUGGGUUUAAAGGGUGCGUAGGCGGAUCGUUAAGUCAGUGAUCAAAUUGAGGGGCUCAACCCCUUCCCGCCAUUGAAACUGGCGAUCUUGAGUGGAAGAGAAGUAUGCGGAAUGCGUGGUGUAGCGGUGAAAUGCAUAGAUAUCACGCAGAACCCCGAUUGCGAAGGCAGCAUGCCGGCUUCCUACUGACGCUGAAGCACGAAAGCGUGGGGAUCGAACAGG